rnacentral:rRNA from 1 species
GACGAACGCUGGCGGCGUGCCUAAUACAUGCAAGUCGAACGAAGCUGUUUUAACUGGUGCUUGCACCGACUUAAACAACUGAGUGGCGAACGGGUGAGUAACACGUGGGUAACCUGCCCCAAAGCGGGGGAUAACAUUUGGAAACAGAUGCUAAUACCGCAUAAUCACAGGAACCACAUGGUUUCUGUGUCAAAGAUGGUUUCGGCUAUCACUUUGGGAUGGACCCGCGGCGUAUUAGCUAGUUGGUAAGGUAAUGGCUUACCAAGGCAAUGAUACGUAGCCGAACUGAGAGGUUGAUCGGCCACAUUGGGACUGAGACACGGCCCAAACUCCUACGGGAGGCAGCAGUAGGGAAUCUUCCACAAUGGACGAAAGUCUGAUGGAGCAACGCCGCGUGAGUGAAGAAGGUUUUCGGAUCGUAAAACUCUGUUGCCAGAGAAGAACGUGUGCGAGAGUAACUGUUCGUGCAGUGACGGUAUCUGGCCAGAAAGCCACGGCUAACUACGUGCCAGCCGCCGCCGUAA